rnacentral:lncRNA from 1 species
CUCAAUAUGAGAUGAGAAGUUGAGAUUGUGAGAGGGAUUCAGGAGCUCCAAACUCCCGGUGGAGUGCUCGUUAAUGCAACUAUUUCCUUCAUCAAGCCGUGGAGUAGACCAAAUCUCUGACUUGUCCAUGGAACAAAUCAACGUGAAAUUCCACAGUCUUUGCGCGAAACAAGUACUUGAUGAGGGAACAGACAAAAAAUGGAAUCAGCUCAACUAAACAAAUGUAAAAAAGAAUCGCCAAUGCAAUUCGUAUAUAGUAAUACGACCAGCCAUCCAUCCUUUUGAAGUCGUUUCAAGAUGAUUCAUUUAAACAAUCCUUUCAAAAUUGAAACUCCGGAUCAUCUCAUCCAAUAUUGACAGACGUUAUACUGAUAUAUUUUUUAUCGCAGGACUUGAUAUUAAUUAUACACACACAACCUCUUUCAA